rnacentral:sRNA from 18 species
UGCUGUCGUUGACAGCGCUCAACGCUUCACAACCUGAAAGAAGCGCCUGCUAUCAGGAUGGUUGAGCCGUUU